rnacentral:lncRNA from 13 species
AAUAUGGGAAUACAUUUCUGUAAACAUAUUCCAUAUUUUUUACAACUACAGCUGACUUAUUACCUUACCCUUGCUGGGAGGAUGAUAGUGAGAGAGCUGGCAGUGUUAAACACACAGAUUUUCAUGAUGGAGCAGCCUAUUUCCAUCUGUUUCACUCCUGUAGGGAGGUUGGUGUGGGAGGAACUGACUUCUCAAACUGAACAGCCAAAUAGUGAAGACUCUGGUUUUCCCUUUGAGAAGAUGCAGUUGGUUGGGAACUGGGGUUCGUUUAAUUUCCAUACCUGGAUAAUCCGUUAUGGACGAGUGCAGGUACUUCAGACAUAUUCUUAACAUUUAUGAACACACCUGUGUGUUUUAACUCCCAUUUGUCUCUGGAGAUUAUUUUGUAUGUCUGGUCCUAAUUGAAACCUAGAGGAAAGUUGUUGUAC